ACAUUGGGAAAGGUGCCGAGACAUGAACUUUGGUCUUCUCUGCAAUCCAUCUGGAGCAUUCACUGACAACAUCGACUUUGAAGUUGCACUGACCUGGCCAGCCCUGCCACUUACCAGGUUGGCAUCUGGCAUCUUUCUUGACAUAUGUAGCAGUUGCUUUUUGACAGCUUGCUUCUUCAGUGAAUGAAUAAAUUAAUAAAGAGAAAUGUGAUGUUCAGUGAUCCAUUUUGCAGAUAACACUAACAAAGUUGACCUUAGAAUUGGAGUGCCUGGGUUAGAACCCUGCUGGUACCACCUGCUUACUGCAUGCUUCUGAUGUGAGUUCAGGAGAAGACACUGGCAAGGACAGCAAAGAACAGGAGAACACUCUAGCUUCCCUGAUAGCAUUCAAGGUGCUGUCCAAACUGACUGUGAUGGCACCCUCCAGACAGACAGCGAUGCCACAUGUUCAAGAUGGCAGAAUCACUAUCAGCUUCAAUUCCUGAAUGACUGCAGAGCAAAAUUUCUUACCUGCAACAUACACUCUAUUUUCAGCCUCCCUGGACUGUUACAUAAUGAUACAUAAAAAUAUUUCUUGUGUUGAGGCAUCCCAAAUUUGAUUUAUUUGUCAUCACAGUCUAUCCUAUGAAUAUAUUUCUGAUCCAAAUAAUGCUAGAUUCAUGAGAGUUUAUAGUCCAGAGAUUUUUUUUUUUUUUUUGAGACAGAAUCUGUCUCCCAGGCUGGGGUGCAGUGGCAUAAUCUUAGCUCACUGCAACCUCUGCCUCCCGGGCUCAAGUGAUCCUCCCUCCUUAGCCUCCAUGAGUAGCUGGGACCACAGGUGUGCACCACCACACCCCGCUAAUUAUUUUGUAUUUUUUGCAGAGGGGGGUUUCACCACAUUGCCCAAGCUGGUCUCAAACUCCUAGACUUAAGGGAUCUGCCUGCCUUGGCCUCCCAAAAUGCUGAAAUUACACUUGUUAGCCAUAGUAAUAGUUCCUAGCCAUAGUCCGGAGAUAUUUUAAAAACUUUAGUGUGAGUUAUUUCUCUUUGCUAUAAUUCUCUCAUGCAUUUUGAAAACCUUUUCUGCCAUACAGUGGUUUUUGGGAAGUCCUUUUGGACAGACAUAUCACAGGAUGGAGAAACUAAAAAGAGAGAAUGCAUUAAAGAAAAAAUAGUACUUCGUAUUUCAGAAAUUACAAAAGGGUGUCAUGCCCCACAGCAUGGUGGGCAGUCAUUUGUAACCCACAGAACAUUGAGUUUCUAAAAUUUGAGUGUUUUUAACUUACGAAGGCCAACUUUACUGAUGAAGUGAUUACCCCAAAUAUGUGAAAUCCAUAUUUCAAGUACAAUAGUAGGAAAUUGGAAAUGGGCUCUUGAGUUUCUGCUUUCAAGUGACCCUCAGAAAUUCCUCCAUUCACUGCAGAGGUUCUGUUUCUCCUUGCUUUGUUCUGACUUUACGGCAGAACUAAGCUAAUGAGUUAGUUACUAUGGGUUAUCACUUGGAUUUGAAGAACCAUCAUUUCUAGGCAUUGCUGCUCAGAGUGGGUCUGCCCUCAGGGGAAGCUGUCUAACCAGAGCCUAACCCACUAGGGUUUUAUCAGAACCUAACUGACCUGAGGAAAAGAAAUACUCAACUCCAGCAAGCUCCAGCCUUCCAAAUGGAGGAGGAGAAAACCCAACUCCAGCCCACUUCAGCUAUCUUGUCCCACAUAAAGGGGAAGUGGAAGAAACCUGAGAAGCAGGCAUGAAGUUCACAGUCCAGAGGUACAGACACAUCAGAGUUCAGUAUCUGAUGAAUUAGAUGCAAAAACCUCAACAAAGUAUUAGCAAAUUGAAUUCAACAAUGUAUGAAAAUUAUUACAUGCCAUGACUAAUUGGAAUUUAUCUCAGGUAUACAAGCCACGCUGAACAUCUGAAAAUCAAUUCAUGUGAUCCAUCACAUUAGCAGACUCAAGAAAAAAAACCACAUUAUCAUAUCAGUAGAUGUAGAAAAAAAAAAUUAACAAAAUCCAGCACCCAUUCACAAUGAAAAUGCCCAGUAAAUUAGAAAUAGAAGGUAACUUCCUCAAAUUGAUAAGGAAUAUCUCUAAAAACCUACAACUAAAAUCAUACUUAAUGGUAGAAAACUAGAAGCCUUCCCAGUAAGAGUAAGAACAAGUCAAAGAUGUAUGCUCUCACCAAUGCUUUUCAACAUCAUAUUGGAAGUCCUAGCUAGUGCAAUAAGCAAAAAAAAAAAAAAA
rnacentral:lncRNA from 1 species